GUCUCCAUAGACUUCUAUGAUAUCAUUUACAAGUUGGGAAAAGGUGUCUUUUUUUUUUUUUGGUAUUACACAAAUGGCACAGCUCUGAAUUGCUCCAGACACAAAACGGUACCUCAGAACUAAAAGCCUACUUGCAGCAUUCCGGAACUGUUUCCAUGGCAUCCCACAAUUGACAACAGAUUGAAGGGUUAGUGGGAAAAUGAGGCAUUUGUGUCUCAGGCUGAAUGUAGUAGUGAUUGCAGUUAAAUGGUUAGGGCAGGCAGAGGGGAACGGGAUGCUCAGAGCUCCAGGGGGACUGCUCGCUGCUCGCCUAAAAUCGGCUAAAAAUGGAACCUGCAUGUUAUUUAUGGUGAGAGUGGAUGGAGGGGCUCAGCCUGACUCCCCCCCACCUCAGGCCUGACCAGUGAGGAAGAGGAUGCUAUGUUAUCAAUAUAACAAUAAAGAGAGGAUGAGAGGAUGGAGUGAAGGAAACAAGGAAGCAGAAAGAGGAGAAUGGAAGAGCGAAGCCAUGAUGGCCAUCCAGCAAGGGACACAGACACAAGACCUUUGAUCCUUUUGAACCCAGCAGGGACUAUUCACUGAUGAGCUGGUUCAACAGCACCAAUGGAUCCACAUCAGCGAUCAGACUCACUGGCUUAAAAUAGCUACUUCUAAAUAAACAUGAGCCUAUUACCCUGAAGAAAGUUCACCAUAAUGUAUACUGAAACCCACCACAAACUCUGAUGAAUGUUUAACAUAUGCUGGGUUUCUCAGAUAUAUUAAUGUGCCCUUGUGACACAAACUCUGAAUGUCCCGGGCUUCACAAGAGGACGCAAAUAGACGUUAACACAAGCUUCACGGAUAUCGCGCAACUUAGCAGCCACACCAUGGUUCCUCCACCUGGAGCCUUCUUCCUGAUCUAAUAAGGAUUUCGUUUUUUGCCUUAUCUUUGAAGUAUUAAUAGAUUUUGUCUAUAACAUCAAGGCCCUUUAUUUAAUCAGAAUUGUACACAUUUUCAGGUGUGUGUUAAAACUUUGGGGGGUUGUAUGCAGUUAGCGCAGAACUACCAGUUGCCGUCUAGUUUCAAAGCAGCUGAUCGCAGGUCAGCGUUUAUGGGCAACAACUCACGACUGUGACAUUUGCUGACCUUUAAUAAUGUAAUGACUCAGAUCUAUACUCAGCUCGCCUUCCUUUUUCUCUCUUUCACAACCUUUUCUCUAUAAAACACACACAUAGCGUAUCGUAUUCCCUGCCUUCCUCUAGUUACUGCAGUUUAGGUUUCCUUGCCUAGAUCUUCUCACCUUACCUCUUCAGAAAUCUGAGUCACAGUGCAAAGAGAAACCAGAACUAAAGAUCUACACAACUAUUUUCAUGCCAUCAUGCACUCCUAGAAGUAAUCACCGUGUUUAUAUCCCACCAUGAAUUCAGGUUUGAUAGGGAUUUGGUUUGGAUUUAACUUAGCAGCACGUGUUCGUUAAGGAUUCCUGUAAUGAUUCUUUUAGUACUUUUGAGGAAACCUUAUCGACCACCUUAAUAAUUUGUCUUUACUAUUUACUAAACAAAAACUAUACUAUUUUGCUAAUAUUUAAAUUGAAAACUUAAAACUCCAAAUGUGUAUCUUUAACUACAUAUUAACUACAUAGUAACUACACUGACUUAAGUCUCACAAGCCUUAAACAAAUCUUUUUUUCUUAGACUCAACAAUCAGUGAUUCUUACUGUAGCUCUUGAUGAGUCAUCUGUCUAGAUUUUCUUCAUCUUUUGUUGCCACAUUUGCUCAUACUUUCUUACUCUUUGUCUUGGUUACAUGAUUCAUUCCGUGAAUGCUGAUGCAGAUUCAGAUGCUAUAAUGUGGUUUGAAUUACUCAACUAUCUCAGCAGUCAUGAGCUGGAAGCUGAGAGAAAGAGAGCUGGUCUAAGAAUACAUCACUGACCUGGACUAAGGGGCAAUAAAAAGUACCUUAACAUUAUUAUAUAAGCUUUAGAGUAAAUCGGAAUGGUCUAAACAAACAAACAAGUUAACAUACAACAAAAAACAGAACAACUACAAAUAGUCUUUGCU
rnacentral:lncRNA from 1 species